rnacentral:rRNA from 1 species
ACCAGACUCCUACGGGAGGCAGCAGUGGGGGAUAUUGCACAAUGGGGGGAACCCUGAUGCAGCGACGCCGCGUGGGUGAAGAAGCGCCUCGGCGCGUAAAGCCCUGUCAGCAGGGAAGAAAAUGACGGUACCUGAAGAAGAAGCCCCGGCUAACUACGUGCCAGCAGCCGCGGUAAUACGUAGGGGGCAAGCGUUAUCCGGAUUUACUGGGUGUAAAGGGGGCGCAGACGGCGAUGCAAGCCAGGAGUGAAAGCCCGGGGCCCAACCCCGGGACUGCUCUUGGAACUGCGUGGCUGGAGUGCAGGAGGGGCAGGCGGAAUUCCUGGUGUAGCGGUGAAAUGCGUAGAUAUCAGGAGGAACACCGGUGGCGAAGGCGGCCUGCUGGACUGCAACUGACGUUGAGGCCCGAAAGCGUGGGGAGCAAACAGGAUUAGAUACCCGCGUACCU